rnacentral:lncRNA from 1 species
GCAUGUUAGUGACUUACACUAUAAAUGUCAUUUUAAAUGAGUCAAAUUCCAUGUACUAGAAAAAUAUAAAGUCCCAGACAGUGUCAAUAUUUCUGCCAUCUCUCUCCCCUGACUUACAACUAUUCACAUUCUUCUCAAUUCUUUUUCUACAAACAACACAGAAAAUGAAUAAAUUCAACAAAUUAUGUCUUCCUCAAAAUAUGUCAAGUCAGAAAUUCUUUGUAGUAAUAACUGCUGUAGUAAAUUGGAGAUGAAUCCCUUUAUCAGCUACCCAUUUGACAAGGUUGUACUUAUAUUUCACUGCUAUAUAUGAACAGAUAUAUUUGUUCAACAGGUUGUCAUUCAAAAGGUCCAUUAGUCUCAUCUCUUAUCAGUAACCCCUACGUUUAUAGUCAUUCUGCCCUUUCUGAAUAUUAGCCUGAAAGGCUCCCAGUACACAGGAAGCAGUUACUUCUUAUUCUC